rnacentral:snRNA from 1 species
GCCAUUUUUGGUAAGCAGAACUGG